AAAAAAGUAACAGUGUAGUUCAAGUGUUCAAAUGUUCAGUGGUUAAUUAGAUAAAUUAGAAUAAAACCAUGAAAAAAAAACAUUUCCAUCAGUUUCGUUUCUCUCUGUUGACCCUUGAGGUUAUUAGGAAACGGAUUAGCAGAACGAGCGAGAGCUGCAAGGCCAAAAGAAAGUCCUUACUAAACAAACAGACAAUCCCAGCUGCAGCUCAAAGGGCAUCAUGUGAGGUGGCAUACUUAAAUGCACAGGCAAAAAAAACAAACACACAAUCGGUGAACCGUUAAUUAAACCCGCUGCUGUAGCAAAAGUCCAGCCAUGCAUGGGGAUAAAUUUGCCCGUGAUCUGGAAUCAGGGCCGCUGUCUAACGGGACUAUUCCCCGACGCAUCACCAACACGGCCCAGGACAUGACUGCCAGCUGGGGGAUAGAGUUAACAAAGGGAAAUAUGCUUUACAGGUCGUUGGGGGUCGCAUUAGGCCCCAGGUGAACCACGUGAUUCUGUUGUCAACCUACAGGUUCAUCUGACUGCUGUCGUUCAUUGGACUGAAGCCAGUGAUCUUUGACUUUACAUGAAGAAAAGCAGGGAAAAGACACCGGUCGGACCAGAUGGCAGAUGAUCUGUUGAUUUGUGAAACCAGGGUAAAGUGGAAUCGAGCACCGUGCCAAACUAGGGAAUGGAGAGAAUGUGGAUGAUGAGAAAGUAUUCACAGAG